UCAUCAAGCUUGGCUUCCGUGUCCGCGCCGGCGUUAGAAGUGCACAGAGAGCAUCGUCCCUUGUGCAGAGUGUUGAGCAACUGAAAGUCGAUGACGAUGCAACUUCGCCCGCAGAAAGGCUCGAGAUCGUAGAAUGCGACCUGGAGAAGCAGGCGCAGUCAGACAUCGUGUCGGCCAUUGGCAACGCGGCGAUUGUGGUGUGCUCCAUCGGCGCCAGCGAGAAGGACAUCCUGGAUGUAACGGGCCCCUACCGUAUCGACUACAUGGCCACCAACAACCUCGUGCAGGCUGCAACUGCUGCAAAGG
rnacentral:misc_RNA from 1 species